AGAAGCUGAGGUUAAGUGGCAUGUCCAUCAUCACGGAGCUAUCUAUACAUUCCUGCUUGCUACCUGAUUAGUUUAUAGUGGGUACUGAAGAGGAAGACAAGAACCAUCCAGUGGUGGCUGUUAGAUCAUCUUGGUUGAUUUCAGCAAACAGGCUUUUCCUCAUCUGUAAAACAAACUGGAGAAGGAAACGGCA